rnacentral:rRNA from 1 species
GACGAACGCUGGCGGCGUGCCUAACACAUGCAAGUCGAGCGAAUGAAGUUCCUUCGGGAAUGGAUUUAGCGGCGGACGGGUGAGUAACACGUGGGCAACCUGCCUCAUAGAGGGGAAUAGCCUUCCGAAAGGGAGAUUAAUACCGCACAAGAUUGUAGUACCGCAUGAUACAGCAAUUAAAGGAGCAAUCCGCUAUGAGAUGGGCCCGCGGCGCAUUAGCUAGUUGGUGAGGUAACGGCUCACCAAGGCGACGAUGCGUAGCCGACCUGAGAGGGUGAUCGGCCACAUUGGGAAUGAGACACGGCCCAGACUCCUACGGGAGGCAGCAGUGGGGAAUAUUGCACAAUGGGGGAAACCCUGAUGCAGCAACGCCGCGUGAGUGAUGACGGCCUUCGGGUUGUAAAGCUCUGUCUUCAGGGACGAUAAUGACGGUACCUGAGGAGGAAGCCACGGCUAACUACGUGCCAGCCGCCGCAGUAA